UACUGAGGAUCCAAGCGUUAUCCGGAUUUAUUGGGUUUAAAGGGUGCGUAGGCGGCCUAUUAAGUCAGGGGUGAAAGACGGUGGCUCAACCAUCGCAGUGCCCUUGAUACUGAUGGGCUUGAUUACACUUGAGGUAGGCGGAAUGUGACAAGUAGCGGUGAAAUGCAUAGAUAUGUCACAGAACACCAAUUGCGAAGGCAGCUUACUAAGAUGUUAAUGACGCUGAGGCACGAAAGCGUGGGGAUCAAACAGG
rnacentral:rRNA from 1 species